rnacentral:rRNA from 1 species
UACGUAGGCAGCAAGCGUUGUUCGGAGUUACUGGGCGUAAAGGGUGUGUAGGCGGUUCUUUAAGUUUGCUGUGAAAUCUCCCGGCUUAACCGGGAGGGUGCGGUGAAUACUGAGGGACUAGAGUACGGGAGAGGAAAGUGGAAUUCCUGGUGUAGCGGUGAAAUGCGCAGAUAUCGGGAAGAACACCCGUGGCGAAGGCGGCUCUCUGGGACGGUACUGACGCUGAGACGCGAAAGCGUGGGGAGCGAACAGG